UACGUAGGGUGCAAGCGUUGUCCGGAAUUAUUGGGCGUAAAGAGCUCGUAGGCGGUCUGUCGCGUCGGCUGUGAAAACCUGGGGCUCAACCCCGGGCCUGCAGCCCGAUACGGGCAGACUAGAAUUCGGUAGGGGAGACUGGGAAUUCCUGGUGUAGCGGUGAAAUGCGUAGAUAUCGGAGGAAUACCGGUGGCGAAGGCGGCAUCCUGGACCGACAUUGACGCUGAGGAGCGAAAAGCUAGGGGAGCAAACGGG
rnacentral:rRNA from 1 species